rnacentral:ncRNA from 1 species
AGGUCUGGGUAAACUUUUGAAAUUUUGUCGUGCUGGGGAUAGAACAUUGCAAUUAUUGUUCUUCAACGAGGAAUUCCUAGUAAGCGCAAGUCAUCAGCUUGCGUUGAUUACGUCCCUGCCCUUUGUACACACCGCCCGUCGCUACUACCGAUUGAAUGGUCAUAGUGAGCAUAUGGGAUCCUCUGGGCCUAGGUGGCAACACCCGGGCCUGGAAGAGAACUAUGGCAAACUAGAUUAUUUAGAGGAAGUAAAAGUCGUAACAAGGUUUCCGUAGGUGAACCUGCGGAAGGAUCAUUA